AGAUACUUAUGCAGUAGUGACCUCUGAAAAUGCAGCUUCGGUGAAAGCAAAACACGACUUAUUCAGAAGCGCUUCUUCAGAGAAGCACUUUUUCUCACGCGCAUUGGCUCAAGCUUUCUCGGUUUCUCUUGUGCGACACUCUCUCAAACUCAUGCUCUCUCCCUCUCAAUUCUUACACAACAACAACGAUUACGAUGCAGAUUCUCUUGGUCUCGAAUUGGUUGGAUUUGGAUUUCGGAACUGAUUCGAAUUGUUAUCGACUCAGGAUUCGAUUCGUGUUGGGGUUUAGAAUCUGUUUGCGCUCGAAAAUUCAACUUAGAGCAGUUUGAGUUAAAGUUACAACAAGCAUAUGAUAUCAUAAAGCUGAGAAUGGAGGAACGCUUACCGGUUGAAGCGAUGAGGAGAAGAAAAUGCAGCUUUCAAUCUUGCUCACAAGGAAGUCCGGGCCGCUGGUUGACGCAAUUCAGCGGAAGCAGAUAGAUAUCUGGCACAUAUGAGAAGAAAGGAUGCCGACUAAAGUGCUUAUAGGACAUUGUGGCAAGAGUUUUAGAUUGCAACAAUAUACUUAGAAAUGUUCCUGUUGAAAUUUCUUUGCAAUUUUUCUCAUUCUUCAUAGUUCUGAUAAAUAGAAUGGAGAAUAAGUUGGUAAUGCUGUAGCGGAUUUGGUAACAUUUGUAUGUCAUUUAUUAUUUCACUGGUAAUAAAUGCAUAAUAAAGAUGUAGUCUCAAUUUAUCAAUUAUAUAUUAAAUUUUA